CCCCCUCCCCCUCCCCCUUCUCUCUCUCUCUCUCUCUCUCUCUCUCUCUCUCUCUCUCUCUCUCUCUCUCUCUCUCUCUGCCUCUCUCUCUGCCUCUCUCUCCUUCCCUCCCUCCCUCCUCUCUCUCUCUACCUCCCCCCCUCUCUCUCCCUCCCUCCUCCCUCUCUCUCUCUCUCCUUCCCUCCUUCCCUCUUCUCUCUCUCCCUACCUUCCUCCCUCCUCUUUCUCUCUGUUUCUCUGUCUCUCUCUCUUUCUCCAUAAAGCACUAUAUUUUAAGUGAUGCAUUUCCCCAUCACAUUUUUGAAUGGUGGCUAAAGUGGGUGCACUUUGACAUUUCCAAGGUUCCCACAAUUUCCCCUCCACACAGUUCCAAGGUAGUAGAGAGGGGUUUUGGUGACUUGCCCCAUCACCUAUCUAGGAAGUGAUUUGAAUCCAGAACCUCCUUCCCAUCUCUAGGCCUGGCUCUCAGUAAGACUUUUUAAAAAUAAAAAUCCCCCACCACAGCCACUAGUGGCUCUCUGUCUAGGCUUUUUGACCAGAAUCCUAACAAGGAAGCCUGUUGUUGAUCUCUGCCUGCCUGCCCUGGGAAGUACCAGCUUCAGCCCUCCACUGGCCACAACGCUGGCAUAAUGGGAAGAGUCUUCCACUGGAACCCACACUUGGGUUCUGCCUCUCUGCCAUUAUUUCCCCUCUCCAGGCUCUGAGUCUCUUCCUGCUCCAAGCAUUUAUUUGCCUUUCCCAAUGGGAUCUCUCCGUUCUCUCACUAUCUCUCUCCAGGUUCUCUCUGCCUCGAGCCAAGGCAACAAGAGUCCGUCGUGCCUACUAUGUGCCAAGAGAGGAAAAAAAGGCAAAAGACAGUCCCUGGUGUUUGGGAAUUCCCAGUCCAAGGCGGGCGCCAACCUCUGUGGAAUGAGCUGGAGUCAGAAUAAAUGGGACCUCAUCAGUGGGCAGCUGCUCCCUGUCUCCCUAUCUCUGUUCUGGCUCCAGGCCUGCGGGAAGUUCUGGAAUUUCUGCCAACUUUGGCCCCAUUUUCACAUUUAUUGACAAGGGACAAAAGCGUGCAUCGAGUCAGAAGAGGAGCCUAGCACGCUCACCCAGCAGCAGAGCCCCACCACCUCCAGAGCCCUAGAAGCUACCCUCGGGUGUCUUUGGCCUCAUGGAUAGGGCAGCACCUCCUGGUCAAUGGGACAGUGUCCAGAAGAGCCCCAAGGAUGGCUGGCUGGUUGAAGGACAGCCCAGGGAGAGCGAGCCUGCAGAAGAGAAGCACUGACGUCCACGUUCACUUUCUUCACGUAGGAGAAGGCGCUUUGUACCCAGGAUGGACUAACCUGGUUCUGCUUGGCCCUCUAGGGCAGAACCAGGAGCAACAGGGCGAUAUUUCAGGAGCACAGAUUAGGUUUGAUGCCAGAGAAAACUUCCCCACAAUCCAGACUGUCCCAAAGGGAAUGGGCUGCCCCAGCUUCGGGUACCGGUUAGUCUCUUAAAGCUCGGACAAUCAUCAGUGUGGAGGAUCAGUGAUUACCUCCCUGGGGAGACUCCCUCCACCUACAUGUGUGGUAACCUUCUGUAACUCAGAGUUAAGUCCUAGGAAGUUGCCUGAGGCUCAAAGUUGAAGGGAUUUGCCUGUGGUCAAGGACAACAUGGCAAGAAUUUCUGAUUUCUUCCUUGUGGGAUAUUCAGUAUGGAAAGUCCCUAUGAUGGGUCUAGAAUUUACAACUGUAAAGAGCUGCCCCAGGCUCAGAGAAAUUGUAACUUGGCCAGUCACACAGGCCCUGAAAAGCUAAUGGGACAUUUGAAGUUGGGUCUUCCCGUCCAUGGACAAUACUCAGAAAAAAGCUCUCAUAGGUUACAAUAACCCCCUCCAGAACAGUCAGAGGAAGAACUGUGGGAAUAGAAACACAGAAGAAGAACAACUGCUUGAUCACAUGGUUCAAUGGGGAUAGGACUGGGGAUAUAGAUUCUAAAUGAUCACCUCAGUGCAAAUAUUAAUAAUUGAAAAUAGGUUUUGAUCAAUGACACAUGUAAAACCCAGGGGAAUUGUGCAUCAGCUCGGGGGGGGGGGGGGGAGAGGAAGGAAAGAACAUGAACCUUGUAACCAUGGAAAAAUAUUCUAAAUUAACUAAUUAAAUAAAAAUUUUCCAAAAAUCUAAAAGGCA
ensembl:lncRNA